UGCAAGUAGAACGCUGAAGAGAGGAGCUUGCUCUUCUUGGAUGAGUUGCGAACGGGUGAGUAACGCGUAGGUAACCUGCCUUGUAGCGGGGGAUAACUAUUGGAAACGAUAGCUAAUACCGCAUAACAAUGGAUGACACAUGUCAUUUAUUUGAAAGGGGCAAUUGCUCCACUACAAGAUGGACCUGCGUUGUAUUAGCUAGUAGGUGAGGUAAUGGCUCACCUAGGCGACGAUACAUAGCCGACCUGAGAGGGUGAUCGGCCACACUGGGACUGAGACACGGCCCAGACUCCUACGGGAGGCAGCAGUAGGGAAUCUUCGGCAAUGGGGGCAACCCUGACCGAGCAACGCCGCGUGAGUGAAGAAGGUUUUCGGAUCGUAAAGCUCUGUUGUGAGUCAAGAACGGGUGUGAGAGUGGAAAGUUCACACUGUGACGGUAGCUUACCAGAAAGGGACGGCUAACUACGUGCCAGCAGCCGCGGUAAUACGUAGGUCCCGAGCGUUGUCCGGAUUUAUUGGGCGUAAAGCGAGCGCAGGCGGUUUGAUAAGUCUGAAGUUAAAGGCUGUGGCUCAACCAUAGUUCGCUUUGGAAACUGUCAAACUUGAGUGCAGAAGGGGAGAGUGGAAUUCCAUGUGUAGCGGUGAAAUGCGUAGAUAUAUGGAGGAACACCGGUGGCGAAAGCGGCUCUCUGGUCUGUAACUGACGCUGAGGCUCGAAAGCGUGGGGAGCGAACAGGAUUAGAUACCCUGGUAGUCCACGCCGUAAACGAUGAGUGCUAGGUGUUGGAUCCUUUCCGGGAUUCAGUGCCGCAGCUAACGCAUUAAGCACUCCGCC
rnacentral:rRNA from 1 species